rnacentral:rRNA from 1 species
CCCUGAUUUCGGGAUAAGCCUGGGAAACCGGGUCUAAUACCGGAUACGACCAAUCCUCGCAUGAGGGUUGGUGGAAAGUUUUUCGAUCGGGGAUGGGCUCGCGGCCUAUCAGCUUGUUGGUGGGGUAAUGGCCUACCAAGGCGACGACGGGUAGCCGGCCUGAGAGGGCGACCGGCCACACUGGGACUGAGACACGGCCCAGACUCCUACGGGAGGCAGCAGUGGGGAAUAUUGCACAAUGGGGGAAACCCUGAUGCAGCGACGCAGCGUGCGGGAUGACGGCCUUCGGGUUGUAAACCGCUUUCAGCAGGGAAGAAGCGAAAGUGACGGUACCUGCAGAAGAAGUACCGGCUAACUACGUGCCAGCAGCCGCGGUAAUACGUAGGGUACGAGCGUUGUCCGGAAUUAUUGGGCGUAAAGAGCUCGUAGGUGGUUGGUCACGUCUGCUGUGGAAACGCAACGCUUAACGUUGCGCGUGCAGUGGGUACGGGCUGACUAGAGUGCAGUAGGGGAGUCUGGAAUUCCUGGUGUAGCGGUGAAAUGCGCAAUAUCGAGGAACACCGGUGGCGAAGGCGGGACUCUGGGCUGUAACUGACACUGAGGAGCGAAAGC